UCCCCUGCUCACACUCGGUCUCUCUCUCAAAAAUAAACAUUAAAAAAAUUAAAAAUGAAAACAUCCUCUAGAUGCUGGGACCAUUUCCAGGGAAACAGCAGCAUACAGACCAUUCUGCAAACACCCUACGCAGCCACAUGCCUCCACUUGUCCACUGUGGCAUGGGAGGGAAAGUCCCAGACAUUGGGUUUGAUUUCCUGGACUCCUGUUUUCUGGCCCUGUGACCGUCAGCAAGCAACUUAGCUGAUGUCGGACCCUCAGUCUCCUCUUUUAUAAAAAUGACUAAAAAUAUCUCAGGUUCUUGUGAGGGCCAAUUAGGAAACAAUCUGAAAGCUGGCACAUAACAGGUGUUCAGUCAAUGGUAGUUAUUUAUGGUGUUCCCUCAGUCUGGAAUGUUCUCCCCACCUGCUCUAUAGGAUAAGCCCUUGUUCAUCCCUCAAAGCCCCAUCAGGUCAAAUCCCACUGCUUUGGUGAAGGCUGUGGUAAUCUUCAGUAUUAUUCUCCCAGUACAGCUUCUCCCCGCCUGAUGUUGGUCAUGGCCAUUCAACUGGAAUGCCUAUAAGAGCCAGGUGGUGCUAUGCCACGACUUCUUUCCCUCCAAACCGGUCACCAGCUCAGCAAAGCCCCAGAAACACAGUGAACAUGCGGCAUGAGUACGGAACAAGCCUUUGCCAUUUAACCCUCUGAGAUUUGGGGGUUGCUUGUUACCUCGGUUCUGGGCCGCUCAAACUGUGGUUUUCCUUCCGCAGUCUCAGCAUCCCCAGAACACUUAGAGAUGCACGUUCAGGCCUCGCCCCGGACCUACAAAACCAGAUUCUCCAUUUUCUUCUGAGGUAACAUGUCAAAGGUGCUGAGUGUGGUUUCUCUGCCAUAAAGGGGCUCAGCAGCCAUUAUUUCCUCCUUACACCUCCAAGGCUUCUACAGAACAUUCUGCCUGUUACCGCCCACAAGUGCCAUUCUCCCCUUCUUCCUUAUCAGGUUUUGUAGGAGAUUGCAAUGUGCUCGUUAAAAUAUUCAGGUUCCCAGAAUUCCUUGAAGCUAAGGGGAGUCACAUGACCCAGUUCUAUCUCUGGCUCAGAGGCACUCCCCGGGCUGCAGAGAAACUCGUCAGAGGUGAAAGGCUCAAGUGACAAGUGCAUCUAUCUGGCUUUGGGCCUUGCUCUUCCCCUCGCUUCUUGCCUGUUACUUGCAUGACAAAGUGGUCCCAGUGACUCAUGCUUCCCUAUAUUCAUGUAGUCCCCAGCCACAUGGAAUCUGGGCUGGCUGGCGCCUCACUCUGACCAAUAGAAUGGGCCUGACUUGAGCUUCAGGACUUCUGCCGGGCUUGGAACCUAACGUCUGUACAGGCUGAGAAAUUGCUCUCCCUACAGGAGAUCACGUUCCUGUCAAAGCGAGGACCAUCCAUCCCACUGUCCAGGCCAGAAAUCAGGAAAUCACCUCACCUUUUUCUCUUAUCUGCAGCCAGGCCAUUCCCCUCACAGGGCGCACAUCCACCCCAGGAUUGAUGUAUGGAGAAGACACCCACUGAUCUCCUACCUCGCCACCAUGCCUGCCCCACACAAGCCUGACUGUAGCUGUCAGAUCGAUCUUUCUAAACACAGAUCUGAAGGGCAUUCCCCAGUGCUGUUAGACUAACUCACAAGGCCCUGACAUGGCCUACACCUCCAUACGUGAUCCAGUGUCUGCCUUACUCUCUAAUCCCAUCUCUGUCCACUCCCUCUCUAAAUAUCAGGGCCCUGGACAUAUGCUGCUCCCUGUUUCUGAUGCAAGCUAUGCCUGUUAACACCUCCGUGCCUUUGCCCCAGGGCCGGCAAACUUCAUCCUUCAUGUUAAUUCAAAGUCUUAGUCUGCUUUGGCUACUCUAACAGAAUCCCACAGACCGGAUGGUUUAAAUACCAAUUUAUUUCUCAUAGUCUGAAGGCCAGAAGUCCAAGAUCAAGGUGCUGGCAAGGGAGGUUUCAUUCUGAGACUUCUUAUGUUGGCUUGUAGGUGGCUGCCACCUUGCCAUGUGCUUACAUGAUGUGUGUGCCUGAGGAACGAGAGGGCCAGCUCUCUGAGGUCCAUACUCGGAAGGACCUAAUCCCAUUUGAUCAGGGUCCCACCAGUUCCUUUGUUAGAGGCCCAUCUUCAAAUACAACCACAUUUGGAGGUUAGGGCUUUAAUAUAUGAAUUUUGUGGGUAGGGGGGAACACAAACAUUUGGUCCAUAGGAUCCAACUAGGAGUGGCUGCCUGGAGAAAGGUGUUGAUAAGAAGUUUGAGGUCCUUCCUGGACUCCAUGAUAAAAAAAAAAACACUAUGCUUGAUUCAUGAUGUCUGCCUUGGACUUGGCAGGAGAUAUUGGGGUGGCUUACAUACCAUAUGUUUUCUUCCCUUGUUUUAUGUGCUCAUCUUUGCUAGCCUCUCUCUUGGCCCCAGCACAAUCUCUGACACAUACCAGGCCCCUGACACAUUUUCAAUGAAUGAAUCAACAAGUGAGUAAUGGUCUCAAAGCACAUUGCAAAUGGACGGUUUCACUGAAGCUUCACAGAGGCUGUGAGGUAAAGCCGAACGGGCAGGUGGUUGGAAAUCUUUAAGGUGUUCGCCCUUCUCUCCCCUCACCCUGGGCUGGAGAUGCUGCAAUUGUCUUAGCGACUGCACGGAUGCCUCGGCGGAUGUCUGUCAGGAUCACAGGUGACUUUUGCUGACACUGUCUCCCAGAGCCACUGAGACAUUUGCCCUUCUCACUUCCUUCUGCCCCUGCACCCCCAUUCACCCCAGUGCUGCACCCCCACCCUCUGGCCGCUGUCACUUUGAGAAGCAAAUUGAUUCUGUGGUCACUCAGCCUGGUAGCAAGGGAGGGCCUCGCCUGCCUUCCUAUGGGACACACGUUAACUGGUGCCGUGAUGCAGGAGUCACAAGCAGGCGUGGGCGUGUGUGAUGGGGAGAGAGGUGUCGUGAUUAAAGGGGAAAUGUACUCAUGUCUCAAGUGCUCCUGUUGGAAUGCAGCUCAUGAAGACGAGUGUGUGUCUAAAUGUAUAUACCUGGGCCCGCUUCUUCCCCUGCUCUCGCGCUCAGCCACACUGCCUCGACUAGCCAUUGGGUCUGUCUCUGCCAACCCAACCAUGUGCCCUGUGGCCGAACCUCUUGUAGAGCACUGUAGAUGGACAUCCUGCCCCGGCCCCCCUCCUGCUCUGGGCCUGCUGUAGCCUCCCCCACCGGGCACUCAUUCUCAGCCAGUGCAGUGCCUACCUGUGUGAGAUGUGAUCCUGCUUUAAGGAGCUCGUGGCCCAUAUCAGUGGCAGGACGCUUGGGACCAGCUGUGUGUUGGGAGGAGCGGAGGCCGUGUCCAGUCUGCUGGACAGGGAGGGCAGGUGAGCAGGCCUAGGGCCGUGUGCCUGGGUAUCCCCCUGUUCGCCUGCAGUGGAGGGAGGGAGCAGGGGACAGAGGGAAGGAGACCAGCCUGGGAGGGGUCGUUUGGGUUACACAGGACAGCAGAGAUGGCACCAAGAGCCUGCUCUCUGGGGCUUGCAACCUGGAGAACAGAGCAAGGACUUCCUGCCGCUGGUUCACUUGGGGUUCUGUCUCCUCAGCCGUGGACACUGUCUCACAUAGUAACUGCUGAGAGAAAAAGGACCCAAGGGGCCCAGGACUCAGCACUCAACCUGGCCUCGCCUCCACAGAGUUUCCCAAGGUUGGAUAAUGCCUGUGAUCAUUUCCCAGGACUCUGGCAAGCCUUCCCAGGAGAACCAUCUGAAGGGCACUGGCCUUUCCACUUCCUCUCUGUCUUCCUGGAGGCCCCACUAGUCCAGCCAAAAAGGCCAUUGAGCCCCGGGAGUGGAGUCACAGAGAGGUGAGGGUGUCCCUGGCUCUGCCUAUGCUCUGAGCCCAGUGCUCUCUGAAGUACCCUGGGAAGUAGCCAGUCUCUACUCCCACCCUUUGGCCAGCCCUAGUUCCAUGAGAAGAAUCCUAGGUGGUUCACUCUGUACGAGGCUCCUUCCUCCCCAGCAAAGUUGUUGAAUAUUUAUUGCACGGUAAAUUGAGUCUUUGUAUCUCCACUGCUGCCCAUUAUGUGCAGUCCACAGUGGGCUCUCUGCACAAUGUGACCUCUACGUCUCUCCCACUCUGACCUGAUUCAUAUCAUAGUCCUCACCGUGCCCUCCUUUGGCCAUACUAACUUCAUUGUGCCUGUAGUUCCAACCUCUUUCUUACCUCUAGGCUUGGCCAGUGUAAUUUCCUUUUCCCCAGCUCUUCACCUGAGUGAUUUCUGCUCAUUUCUCAGGUCUAUGCAUAAAAUACUCUCUUUCAGGGAAAGCUUCCCGGAAAUUUGAUAGUGAGCUGCAGAACAGACUAGGCUAGAGAGACCAGAGACUGGGAAGUCUGUCCUAGGCUAAGACCUCAUGGUCAAAGCCCAAAGUGGGAUGUGCAUAAGCCAAACUGGAAAAGGAAAGGAAAAGACAGAUUCUCGUGACCAAUCCAACAAAUUUGGGAGUGAAAAAUACAGAGAAGUCGACAAUAUAAAAAUAUGCUGUGUCCACAACCUGUGUGAAGCUUACUUUUAGGCGUUUGUGUCCUAGGAAAGAGAGAGGCCCUAACUGAUUUGGCAGCAAAUUUCUAACUAACACUUUUAUGUGGGUCCCAUCCUCCCAGGAAAAUGGAGAGUCUCUUGCAAGAGAAGUAUCGCUUCUCAUUGCACAUGCAUUCCUUUUUACUUCUAGCAGAAUUCUGGCUGUCUUCUCAGUUCUGGGCCUCAAAUUUAUAAUGCUUAUCUCAAAGAGCUUCUAGUUCUUCAGCCGUUUUCUGCAGGAGCCAGAGUGGGGGGUGGGGACAAGGAGACAAAGCCAUCUUUUCCCCCUUGAUCUUACUGUAUCAUGAGUCCCAGCGGGAGAGAGAUGGCAUUUCAGUGUUACCUUACUGCUCUGUUACUGGAGAGAAUAUAAUGAAUGGACUGUUUAUAAAGAUGUGGGCAGGAUGGAAGGCAUCAGGCAAGGGAAUGGUGCAGCACCUCCAGGACCUAACUGUGCAGUGCCAUCAGCUCAGGAAGCUUGAAAACACAAGAGAGGAAGUGAUUAUAAGAACCCAACGAGGGCCGUAGAUGAAGGAAGGGGUUGCUGUGGCCUUCCUGCAGGAAACAACCAGCCACACCACGGCCCACCCAUCCCCCACGGGCAAGGAACUAGAAUAAUAAACACCCUGCCGCUCUUUCCUCCUGCCCUCCUGUUUCCUGCUGGCGUCCACUGUGGCCUCAGGUCGACCAGAACUGAGAAGGCGAGGAAGCUCCAUCGGCACAGUUUAUACAGCUUGGCCCCAGGGACAGGGCACGGUGGAAGAGAAAGAGGAGCAGAACUGGAGAGACCAACAGAACAUUCAGCACGCAAACACGGAGUGCCAGGUGAACAAUUCUCCAGGAGGACAGAAAUCCGGCAAUGUGGAUGUGAAGACGCAGGAUCCAGCCAGGGCAGGAGAGAAGGACCCAUUCCAGACAUGCCUGAUUCCACGCAUCAUCCCUUCUGUCUACCUUGUGGCGGGUUGGUCCCCCAGGACACAGACUCUGAGCCAGGCUACACGGAUCAAAGGCCACUGACCAGCCCAGGGACUGGCUGUGUUUGGGACCCUUCAAGAGUAUCAGCUAGUCUCUUCGAGUCAUGAUCUCCCUACAAGGUGAACCAUUGGGGAAAUACAUGUCACAAAGUGUCAUCUCAGACCACCUGCAGGACACAGCCUCCAGGCUAACUGGGAGCCACGCUGGAUGGGAGGACACUUUGCAUCCUGCUGUGAGCAUCACCCGUGAGCACACAAAUUAUGUAGCCGACCCUGACCCGAAGCAGCACCUGAGAAGUGUCACUGGGACCAGGCAGGAACCUCCACACUAUUUUCCAGAGUGGCUGCACCCGUUUG